rnacentral:rRNA from 1 species
UACGAAGGGUGCAAGCGUUACUCGGAAUUACUGGGCGUAAAGCGUGCGUAGGUGGUUCGUUAAGUCUGAUGUGAAAGCCCUGGGCUCAACCUGGGAAUGGCAUUGGAAACUGGCGACCUAGAGUGCGGUAGGGGGCAGUGGAAUUCCCGGUGUAGCAGUGAAAUGCGUAGAGAUCGGGAGGAACAUCUGUGGCGAAGGCGACUGCCUGGACCAGCACUGACACUGAGGCACGAAAGCGUGGGGAGCAAACAGG